CAGUCGCCGCGGUAAUACGGAGGGUGCAAGCGUUAAUCGGAAUUACUGGGCGUAAAGCGCACGCAGGCGGUCUGUCAAGUCAGAUGUGAAAUCCCCGGGCUUAACCUGGGAACUGCAUUUGAAACUGGCAGGCUAGAGUCUUGUAGAGGGGGGUAGAAUUCCAGGUGUAGCGGUGAAAUGCGUAGAGAUCUGGAGGAAUACCGGUGGCGAAGGCGGCCCCCUGGACAAAGACUGACGCUCAGGUGCGAAAGCGUGGGGAGCAAACAGGAUUAGAUACCCCGGUAGUCCCUGUCUCUUAUAA
rnacentral:rRNA from 1 species